rnacentral:rRNA from 1 species
AUGAGUAUCCUAAGCUGGAACUGCCAGGGUUUGAGGCAACCCCGGACAGUUCAAGAACUUGUGGGCUUGGUGCAAGCCCAUCGCCCUGGGAUCGUUUUCCUGUGUGAAACAAGGCAAUGUGAGGAAAAGGUGAAGAGAAUAAAAUGAAGACUAGGUCUGAAGCACUGCCUUACUCAUGAUGGUAAGGGCAAAGGUGUGGGCAUUGCCUUGUACUGGGAUGAAUCAAUA